rnacentral:tmRNA from 1 species
GGGGCUGCAAUGGCUUCGACGGAGAUGAAGAAGCUUAGGAAGCGAGCCGAGGAUUGGAUCAGCCUCGUAAACAAGGUCCAAACUUUAAAUAUAAACGCUAAAACAGAAUUAGCUUACGCUGCCUAAUUGCAGCGUUGUCCGCCCUGUGAGUACCACGGCACAGGCUCGGGCAUCGUAUUAGUGGUGCACGUGAGCAGAUGUUGUCUUGCCAUCCGCCAUGAAUUAAAGACUACCAAAAUCAUAGCUUUGGUUAUGGAGUAUUGAUUGAGGGAAUGUUAAUCAUAACCUGCGCUCGGAGAAACCUUUGUGGAUUUGUUUUCGGACACGAGUUCGAUUCUCGUCAGCUCCACCA